UCUUGUUCUCCUUUUCUUUUUCUUUUUCUUUUUUAGUCAACACAACACACAACACACACACUCCUCUCCCUCACCCUCCCACCGGUACAUUUCUCAUCAUCACCUCUACCAUUUUUUCCGGCAAAAUCACUAGAAAAUCCUCAAGAACAUCACACUUUCACAUAAGUUAAUUGAGGUUCUAGCUAAUUUCUUUUGGAGCUUGGAAAAUUAGUUUUUUGCGGGUUGCGAGAGUAGGCAACGGUCUUUUGAGACAGCUUUUUGGUGGCUAAUAGUAGUUAGACUAACUACUAAUGGAGGCUGAACUUUGGUAAUGGGUAUAUUAGAUGAUGUACAUCUUAGAAUAGGCUUGACUCAUUCUUUUGUAUAUUAUAGUGGCUAUGAUGUUAUUUCCCACUGAUGAGACAAGCUGAUGAUAUGUAAUUAAUUAUUCAGACC